GGCCCUAACUAUAACUCUGGUCUAGUUUUAUCCUCCCUAUAGGCCCUAACUAUAACUCUGGUCCUGGUCUAGUUAUAUCCUCCCUAUAGGCCCUAACUAUAACUCUGGUCCUGGACUAGUUAUAUUCUCCCUAUUGGCCCUAACUAUAACUCUGGUCCUGGUCUAGUUAUAUUCUCCCUGUAGACCCUAACUAUAACUCUUGUCUAGUUAUAGUCUCCCUAUAGGCCCUAACUAUAACUCUGGUCCUGGUCUAGUUAUAUCCUCCCUAUAGACCCUAACUAUAACUCUGGUCCUGGUCUAGUUAUAUUCUCCCUAUAGGCCCUAACUAUAACUCUGGUCCUGGUCUAGUUAUAUUCUCCCUAUAGACCCUAACUAUAACUCUGGUCUAGUUAUAUUCUCCCUAUAGGCCCUAACUAUAACUCUGGUCUAAUUAUAUCCUCCCUAUAGACCCUAACUAUAACUCUGGUCCUGGUCUAGUUAUAUCCUCCCUAUAGGCCCUAACUAUAACUCUGGUCCUGGUCUAGUUAGGUUCUCCCUAUAGGCCCUAACUUUAACUCUGGUCAAGUUAUAUUCUCCCUAUAGGCCCUAACUAUAACUCUGGUCCUGGUCUAGUUAUAUCCUCCCUGUAGGCCCUAACUAUAACUCUGGUCCUGGUCUAGUUAUAUUCUCCCUAUUGGCCCUAACUAUAACUCUGGUCUAGUUAUAUUCUCCCUAUAGGCCCUAACUAUAACUCUGGUCUAGUUAUAUCCUCGCUAUAGACCCUAACUAUAACUCUGGUCUAGUUAUAUUCUCCCUAUAGACCCUAACUAUAACUCUGGUCUAAUUAUAUCCUCCCUAUAGACCCUAACUAUAACUCUGGUCCUGGUCUAGUUAUAUCCUCCCUAUAGGCCCUAACUAUAACUCUGGUCCUGGUCUAGUUAGGUUCUCCCUAUAGGCCCUAACUUUAACUCUGGUCCUGGUCUAGUUAUAUUCUCCCUAUUGGCCAUAACUAUAACUCUGGUCUAGUUUUAUUCUCCCUAUAGGCCCUAACUAUAACUCUGGACAUGGUCUAGUUAUAUUCAUCCCAAUAGGCCCUAACUAUAACUCUGGUCUUGGUCAAGUUAUAUUCUCCCUAUAGGCCCUAACUAUAACUCUGGUCCUGGUCUAGUUAUAUUCUCCCUAUAGACCCUAACUAUAACUCUGGUCUAGUUAUAUUCUCCCUAUAGGCCCUAACUAUAACUCUGGUCCUGGUCUAGUUAUAUU
rnacentral:lncRNA from 1 species